rnacentral:lncRNA from 1 species
AGGUAAAUAUCCUCAUUAAGUGACUUGUUCAAGGUCACGGGACAAACCAGAGGCGAGCAGCAGACCCAGGAGUGUGCUCUGCAGCUUUGGGGAUACACGCUCAUCACCGCAAUUCAGGGUUGUGAGAACUUCCUCGGUACGCUGCGGGUGAAAUUAAGUUGUCCGCGCCACAACUCUAGGACAGCAGGCGCGUCUGGGAAAAGCUGCUAUUUGAGGAAGUCGGUUUUAACUCCGACGAGCUUAUUAAGUCCUCGCAGCACCCCACUAGAGGGGGGCGAGCCGCAGGCACGGGGUGAGCUGCGAAAUACUGGAAAGGGCCGUAGCACGGCCUGGGAUUAUAAACGGACACCAGAGAAGCAGAAAACGGAAGUACGAGGAGGAGGUCAAAGUCGGGUCCGAGCGUCCGGGAGAACGGAAGAGCGGGCAGGACCACCUUCAGGGGAGAAAACCACCCGGCCUCUCCGGGCAGCCCCGGGUGGGCAGCGGCCGAGCCUGGAGGGCGGCCGCGCGUCCGGGGCCGUCCCACCCUCUCCGCGGACAGGGCUGGACGCCGGUGACCAGCAGCGGGCCAAAGGACAGCGGGUCCACUGCGGACGACUUCCCCGGAAGAGGGCCCGGAGGCCGGGCCCGCACUCACCGUGCGCCGGCCGCCUCGCUAGCGCCGGCCUGAGCGCCCGAGGCCCAUCGCCCACCGCCCGAGGGAGCCGCCGCAGUCGUUAUCCCGACGGAAGCCAGCCGGCUCGGCCUCUUUUCCCGAUUUGCAUUGCGUGGCGACGCGUCGCGUCUCUAGACGUCACGGCGGGGCGGGGCUUCGUGUGGGAGCCCUGGCCCCGCCCCUCUCCCUGUGAGGCGUUCGCAGCUGGACUAAACACUUCCGGGGCGGACUGCGAAGCUGGCCACAACUACAUCGGGCACCUCAGAACAACUCCAGGAGAUACUUGUUUUCACUGCCCCAGGUGACUCUGAGCCCCUGCAGUCAUCCUCAACCAAAUCUGUAAGGAGUUGCUCCUCUAGAUAGAGGCUGACACCAUGCAUGUGCUGUCACCACGCAUUUUAUUCUGUAUAAACAACUUCCCCCAUGCUUUAAUGGGUCGAUCUGUGCACGCUUCUUAUUGUACUCCAUAAGACCUAAUAAAGCUUCUUUCAGAUAGCAAUUUCUGUCUCUGUGGUUUCUAUCCUGAGCAGAGCAGGGUGAACUUGUGCACAGCAGGUAACCCCAAAGGCCACUGACACUGACAAUCAUAGCAGCUGGGGCUGGUGGCUCUGAGGGCAGCUAGUAGCCAGAAAACACAGAGAGCAGUGGUCACGGGAAGAGUUGCUAUGGGCUGCCAGCAGCUGCUCUUUCUAGCUCCCAAGAGAGUGAGGAGGCCCCCUAACACUAACAGCUAGUAGCCACUGGCUCUAAGGAUUGUUAACACUAAAAGCUCAGGGUUGUUAAUACUAAAAGAGCUACACUGCCUAACCAUGAUUUCUGUCUGAAUUGAGCCAAAGAACUCUCAGC